UUCUCUCCGGUAGGGGUAACCUGCGGAGGGAUCAUUG
rnacentral:rRNA from 1 species